rnacentral:SRP_RNA from 1 species
GCCAGGCACCGUGGCACUUGCCUGUAGCCCCAGCUACUCGGGAGACUGAGGCUGGAGGAUCGCUUGAGCCCAGGAGUUCUGGGCUAUAGUGCGCUAUGCCGAUUGGGUGUCCGCACUAAGUUCGGCAUCAAUAUGGUGACCGCCCGGGAGCCAGGGACCACCAGGUUGCCUAAGUGGGGGUGAACCAGCCCAGGUUGGAAACGGAGCGGGUCAAAACUCCGGUGCUGAUCUGUAGUGGGAUCGCGCCUGUGAAUAGCCACUGCACUCCAGCCUGGGCAACCCAAUCUCAA